rnacentral:rRNA from 1 species
AUUGAACGCUGGCGGCAGGCCUAACACAUGCAAGUCGAACGGAAGCAGAGAGCUUGCUCCUGGAUUCAGCGGCGGAGGGGUGAGUGAUGCCUAAGAAUCUGCCUGGCUAUGGGUGAUAACGUCCGGACAUGGGCGCUAAUACCGCAUAAGCCCAGAGGGCGAAAGGGUGGGAUCUUCGGACCUCACGAUAUCAGAUGAGUCUAGGUCGGAUUAGCUAGUUGGUGGGGUAAAGGCCUACCAAGGCGACCAUCCGUAACUGGUCUGAGAGGAUGAUCAGACACACUGGAACUGAGACACGGUCCAGACUCCUACGGGAGGCAGCAGUGGGGAAUAUUGGACAAUGGGCGAAAGCCUGAUCCAGCCAUGCCGCGUGUGUGAAGAAGGCCUUCGGAUUGUAAAGCACUUUAGGUUGGGAAGAAAGGCAGUAAGUUAAUACCUUGCUGUUUUGACGUUACCAACAGAAUAAGCACCGGCUAACUUCGUG